UACGUAGGGUGCAGGCGUUAAUCGGAAUUACUGGGCGUAAAGCGUGCGUAGACGGUUAUGUAAGUCAGGUGUGAAAGCCCCGGGCUCAACCUGGGAAUUGCAUUUGAGACUGCAUAGCUAGGGUGCGGAAGAGGGAAGCGGAAUUUCCGGUGUAGCGGUGAAAUGCGUAGAUAUCGGAAGGAACAUCAGUGGCGAAGGCAGGUCUCUGGGCAUUAACUGACGCUGAGGAGCGAAAGCAUGGGGAGCGAACAGG
rnacentral:rRNA from 1 species